rnacentral:lncRNA from 1 species
GCAUCAUUACGAAAAUAAAAGGAAACAAAGGAGUAAGAGAAAUAUUACUGUUGUAAUAUAAAUGAGUAAAUAGUCAUUUUAGUCCUUAAAUGUGUGUGGCGUUGUCACAUAAUCCUUAGAUGUAUCAAAACUACAAAAAUAUAGCUAAAUACGUCUUUCGUUAGUCGGUUUGUUCUUCAAAUGUGUUUUUUUUAAAAACAGCGCCACACAGAGACCGAAAUAAAUUUUACUCGCAAAUAGGGAUGCUUUUAAAAUUUCGAUAUAUUCAAAGACUAACAGCAACAGUUCAUUCAACGAGGGGCCGAAACGACUUUUUGGGGCAAAUGGUCUUUUUCAUAAUCACACAAUUAAGACAGAAUGAAGUUAUGACAAGGUAUAACAACGGUGAGGUCUUACCG